UCUGUCUAUCGUCGAUCUCAGAUCGGGACAAUCGCGUGCGAUUCUGCCUUCCCGCUCCCAUCAGCGCCAUUCAGCGGUCGUCCCUUCCCCCGAUCCAAUUCUAUCCCCCGUCUAUCUCGUUCCCCAUUUUAUUUCCUUUCAACUCUUCUCUUCCCGAUCCAGAGCAGCGACGCAGGGAGGCAGCUCGGGCUCCGCCGGACAACGACAUGCGCCGUCGUGAGCGCGACGGCGGAGGCUUAUGGGCUGCGGUGGCGGAUCGAGACGGGCGCAUCGUCGCGGAUCGAGAUGGUAGGCGGAGCUCCACGGGGAGGAUCUCGUCCCAGGCACGACGCAGGCCUGCGGGAGCAGCGGCUCAGCGUGGGAGCACGCGGCUCCCCACGGUGGGCGGGCGCGGUGGAGGCCUCGUGCGGCGGCGGACGCGGAUGGAGGCCUCGGCGGUGCUGGGAUCCCGGCGACCGAUGCGCGAAUCAAGGUGGGGCUAGUGUUCGGCGAGGUGUGCGUCGGCACACGCCGAAUCUCUGUUCGAGGGUCCUCGGCUCCCAUCAUUACGCCGCUCGCUCCAACCUCUUCUGCCUCCUCGAAUGUUGCCUGAUAAUGCGGGAUGUGAAUGGGGCCUGAUGUGCUGUUUUGAUUCAGAUUUUGCACAAUGAAAAGGUUAUUUUUUUAGGGAGCGCUGAUGGCAUAUUUGGUUGCAACUCUGGAGUCUGGAUGAUUUGCCUGGGAGCAGAUGCUGCCUGCAGGCUGCAUGUGAAUGUGAUUCUGCCUUGCCCGGCAAUGGGUGUGUUCGUUUCCUACCCUCUAAACUAUAGAUCUGUCACAUCAAAGAGAAUCUUGUUAUUUAAAAGUAUUAAAUAAAGUCUAAUUUCAAAA